UCAAGGCAGCAUCUUGGAAAAAGGCAGUAGCGUGGCUCGGAUCCAAAAAGGAAAUAAAGGCACAAUUUUUCUCAGGUAGAAUCCAUGCAGAUUCAAUUGGUCCCGUACGCACGCAAGAAAGAAUCUCAUCAAUAGGGGUAUUGGGAGGAAGGUUACCAACAUACACAGUUUUAACAGGUUGUGUAGUGUUAUUCGGAAGUGGAAAGUAACCCGGGGCAAAGUUAGCAACAUUAGGACUGGUAACACGUGAAACAUUAUAGCCAGUCGUGGGAUGAGCGGGAGCCGCUGCCAUUUGGGUAGUGCUAAAGGGCAAGCCAUGCAUGGAAGUAUAGCUCGUUGGGCUUUGAACAAAAGGACUCCCCAUAAGAAGCCCGGUAGGGAGUAGAGCAUGCGGUGUGUUUGGUGUAGCGAGACCUUCAGCACUUACAGUAUGAGGGAUAGUAAGUGGUGGUAAAUGUGGAGUUCUUCCAGGGACAGAAAGACGGGACUGACUAGAGGGACUGCUAGAAGACAUAAUGACCGAAAUCAAUAACUGUUAAAGAAAGAAUUAUACUAAGAGCACAGCUGCUUGAUUGACAAAGGAAGAAAUGUAAAAUAAAGAAAUCAACGAGAGUGACGUUUGGUAACAAAUAAUAAAGGGGUAUAUCUUACAAUUUAUAUCACUUUGAAAUAUAUCGAAAACCAAAAUCGGACCAAUAAAGCUCACGAACUUAGGAGGCAACUUAUGAUGCGUUUAACGAUAAAAAUCCAAGCGGGUAAUAAAUGAAUAGUUAAACAAUAUCGCUUAAAGCUAACAACAAGUCUGUUUAAAAAACUCAAUUAGACGAGAAAGACAAUAAUUAAUAGCAACGGAAAAUCUUAGCCAAAAGAAAACUGUCAACGUCCAACGUAUUUUUUAAUUCUAAAAAUAAGAAAACUCGUAAUUCCCAAACUGAAUAAGGAAACUUAGACUGAGAGGCACGUAGGCAAAGCGAAUAAAUGGAAGGAAAAAAUGCGAAUGAAACA